rnacentral:misc_RNA from 1 species
UACCUUGGAUUUUGUAAUGUGUUGAUUUCUCUCUUUAAUAGCUUAUAGUUUAAAUCUUACAGGAGUUAACACUUACUAUGCAUUGUUCAACCAGAAGUGAACAAAUGGUUUUAUUUCGAGGCCUGUUGAAUUUUCUUUCAAAGUUUUUCUAUCAUAAUUUUUUUGAUCUUAAUGUCUUUUAACUUAAGAGGGUGGCUUUGGUGUGAUGGUAAGGUUACUCUGAGGUCACAAGGUUCGACCACGGAAAUAGCCUCUCUGCAAAGCAGGGUAAGGCUACAUAUAUCAAUCCCCCCCAGAGCUCAUAAGUAUGGGAUGCUUCGUGCAUUGGGCCACUUUUUUUUUCUUUUAAUGUCUUUUAACCUGUUUUUCGGUUAUAUCACUUAUUUGGACAUCUCUUUGAUUAAGAUGCAUAAGCACAAGGCACUUGCUUUACACUUGGACUUUGAGAUUUUGAGAACUUGUUUGCUAUUUGAGGGGAAGUUUUUAUUUCCCUGGGGAUAGAUUUAUUUUAUUAAAUGCUUCUAUAGUUCUUUUAUAUUUCCCUCCUGGAGGAAAGUACACAUGAUUGCUUUAAUUCUCCCUUGGAUCCUAUUACAAUUGUCAUUACUAGAUAAGUUCAAUUGGUUGUUAUCGUACUACUAUCAAUAACGUUUUAAUUAAUUUCUGAAAAUCCUUAACAG